GACUCAACACGGGGNAAACUCACCAGGUCCAGACACGAUGAGGAUUGACAGAUUGAGAGCUCUUUCUUGAUUUCGUGGGUGGUGGUGCAUGGCCGUUCUUAGUUGGUGGAGUGAUUUGUCUGCUUAAUUGCGAUAACGAACGAGACCUUAACCUGCUAAAUAGCCCGUAUUGCUUUGGCAGUACGCUGGCUUCUUAGAGGGACUAUCGGCUCAAGCCGAUGGAAGUUUGAGGCAAUAACAGGUCUGUGAUGCCCUUAGAUGUUNUGGGCCGCACGCGCGCUACACUGACAGAGCCAGCGAGUACUCCCUUGGCCGGAAGGCCCGGGUAAUCUUGUUAAACUCUGUCGUGCUGGGGAUAGAGCAUUGCAAUUAUUGCUCUUCAACGAGGAAUCCCUAGUAAGCGCAAGUCAUCAGCUUGCGUUGAUUACGUCCCUGCCCUUUGUACACACCGCCCGUCGCUACUACCGAUUGAAUGGCUCAGUGAGGCUUCCGGACUGGCCCAGAGAGGUCGGCAACGACCACUCAGGGCCGGAAAGCUAUCCAAACUCGGUCAUUUAGAGGAAGUAAAAGUCGUAACAAGGUUU
rnacentral:rRNA from 1 species